rnacentral:rRNA from 1 species
UGGGGAAUCUUCCGCAAUGGGCGCAAGCCUGACGGAGCAACGCCGCGUGAGUGAAGAAGGGUUUCGACUCGUAAAGCUCUGUUGUCGGGGACGAAUGUGGAGAUGGUGAAUAACCAUUUCCAAUGACGGUACCUGACGAGGAAGCCACGGCUAACUACGUGCCAGCAGCCGCGGUAAUACGUAGGUGGCGAGCGUUGUCCGGAAUUAUUGGGCGUAAAGGGAGCGCAGGCGGGAGGUCAAGUCUAUCUUAAAAGUGCGGGGCUCAACCCCGUGAGGGGAUGGAAACUGGUCUUCUUGAGUGCAGGAGAGGAAAGCGGAAUUCCUAGUGUAGCGGUGAAAUGCGUAGAUAUUAGGAGGAACACCAGUGGCGAAGGCGGCUUUCUGGACUGUAACUGACGCUGAGGCUCGAAAGCGUGGGGAGCGAACAGG